AAACUACUUCCUCUGUCUUAAAAAUUUUGUCUUAAAUUCGUUUAAAUACAGAUGUACCUAAUACUAGAACGUGACUUAAUACAUUCGUAUUUAAACAAAUUUAAGACAAAAAUUUUGGAACGAAGGGAGUAGUUU
rfam:Triticum aestivum genome assembly, contig: Triticum_aestivum_CS42_TGACv1_scaffold_486117_6AS